rnacentral:rRNA from 1 species
AUUGAACGCUGGCGGCAUGCUUUACACAUGCAAGUCGAACGGUAACAGGCCGCAAGGUGCUGACGAGUGGCGAACGGGUGAGUAAUGCAUCGGAACGUGCCCAGUCGUGGGGGAUAACGCAGCGAAAGCUGCGCUAAUACCGCAUACGAUCUAUGGAUGAAAGCGGGGGACCGUAAGGCCUCGCGCGAUUGGAGCGGCCGAUGUCAGAUUAGGUAGUUGGUGAGGUAAAGGCUCACCAAGCCAACGAUCUGUAGCUGGUCUGAGAGGACGACCAGCCACACUGGGACUGAGACACGGCCCAGACUCCUACGGGAGGCAGCAGUGGGGAAUUUUGGACAAUGGGCGCAAGCCUGAUCCAGCAUUGCCGCGUGCAGGAAGAAGGCCUUCGGGUUGUAAACUGCUUUUGUCAGGGAAGAAAAGACUCCUGUUAAUACCGGGGGUUCAUGACGGUACCUGAAGAAUAAGCACCGGCUAACUACGUGCCAGCCGCCGCCGUAAUAC